UUAGGAAUAGAAUAGGAUACGAGAGACAUGUCACUAGGAACCCAUGUGUAUAUGCGAUUAUGUAAUCUGAGUGUUUGGCUGGGUAGUCCGACAUGUGUUGCGGAUACUUGACAGCUUGUCUGAGCAGCAUUGUGUAGCUACAUCCUGACUGACAGCUUGUGUUAGCAAGCCCGUGAAUAGCUCAAAAACGAGCCCAUAUGUAUUAUGAGAUAUGAGGUAGCUUCGGC
rnacentral:lncRNA from 1 species